rnacentral:rRNA from 1 species
UCGAACCUGCAUGGCAGAAUGACCCGUGAACAUGUAAAAAUACUACUGGGUGAUGGGGAGACGGUCCUUGGUCUUGAUCCUCAAUGCCUCCCGACUUGUGUGCAUGGUGUCUUGUACAGGCCACCAUGUAUGUCUCGUUGGACCAAUAACAAACCCCGGCACGGAAUGUGCCAAGGAAAUGAAAAAAUAGAGAAGGACUUGUCCUGUUAAUGCCCCGUAUGCGGUGUGCUUACAGGUCGUGGCCUCCUUGGAAUCAUAAACGACUCUCGGCAACGGAUAUCUCGGCUCACGCAUCGAUGAAGAACGUAGCAAAAUGCGAUACUUGGUGUGAAUUGCAGAAUCCCGUGAACCAUCGAGUUUUUGAACGCAAGUUGCGCCCAAUGCCAUUUGGUUGAGGGCACGCCUGCCUGGGCGUCACGCAUCGCGUCGCCCCCUUUCCAUACUUCCUUAACCGGUACAUCUGGUGCUGGGGGCGGAGAUUGGCCUCCCAUGCCUGUGGUGUGGCUGGCCUAAAGAGUUGUCCCAUUUGGUGGACACACGGUUAGUGGUGGUUGUAUAGACCCUCGUCUUGUCCCGUGUGUCGUUAGCCUCUAGGGACAUAUUGAAAAGACCCUACUGUAUUGUCUCUAGAUGAUACUUCGAC